GACGAACGCUGGCGGCGUGCCUAAUACAUGCAAGUCGAGCGAAUGGAAGGGAGCUUGCUCCCUGAAGUUAGCGGCGGACGGGUGAGUAACACGUGGGCAACCUGCCUGUAAGACUGGGAUAACUUCGGGAAACCGGAGCUAAUACCGGAUACGUUCUUUUCUCGCAUGAGGAAAGAUGGAAAGAUGGUUUGGGCUAUCACUUACAGAUGGGCCCGCGGCGCAUUAGCUAGUUGGUGGGGUAAUGGCCUACCAAGGCGACGAUGCGUAGCCGACCUGAGAGGGUGAUCGGCCGCACUGGGGCUGAGACACGGCCCAGACUCCUACGGGAGGCAGCAGUAGGGAAUCUUCCGCAAUGGACGAAAGUCUGACGGAGCAACGCCGCGUGAGCGAAGAAGGCCUUCGGGUCGUAAAGCUCUGUUGUCAGGGAAGAACAAGUGCCAGAGUAACUGCUGGCACCUUGACGGUACCUGACCAGAAAGCCACGGCUAACUACGUGCCAGCAGCCGCCGUAACAC
rnacentral:rRNA from 1 species